GUCGCUGCCUGGCCGCGGUUGCGCCGGGGGCGGAGGAGUGAGGUCCUGACAGAACCAGAGUUGUUAAAGCAGGGACGCGCGAAGGGCGGGAGUACGGGCGGCGCUGGAGAACCUCCGCGGGGGAGGGGCCUGUGGGUGGACCGCGCCCGCGAGCCCGCCCUGAUGGGGAAACAGCCUCUUGCUCUAUCACCCAUACUUGGAGUGCAGUAUUACAAUGAUAGCUCACUGCAGCCUCAAACUCCUGGGCUCAAGCAAUCCUCCCACCUCAACCUCCCAGAAAAAAAAGCCUUAUGAAGACACCGCUAGAGGACAACUAUGUGCAAACCAGGAAGAGAGACCUCACCAGAAGCCUGCUGGUGGUACCUUGAUCUUAGACUUCCAGCCUCCAGAAC